UUUCCGUAGGUGAACCUGCGGAAGGAUCAUUAAUGAUUUGUCAUGGGGUUCGAUGCUGGCAGCCAAUUUUUGGAUGCAUGUGCUUGCCCUAACAAUCAUCUUCCAAACACCUGUGCACAUUUUUGAGGGAGUCUUGAGUUGGUUGCCGCUCUUGGGUGAUUUUCUCACAUUCCCUUAAAUCAUUAUACGCUAUUAACAAUGUUGAACGUGCUCUGUGCCGCAAGGCUAUUAAUAUAAUACAACUUUUAACAACGGAUCUCUUGGCUCUC
rnacentral:misc_RNA from 1 species